rnacentral:rRNA from 1 species
AGUGAACGCUGGCGGUAGGCCUAACACAUGCAAGUCGAACGGCAGCACAGAGGAGCUUGCUCCUUGGGUGGCGAGUGGCGGACGGGUGAGGAAUACAUCGGAAUCUACUCUGUCGUGGGGGAUAACGUAGGGAAACUUACGCUAAUACCGCAUACGGCCUACGGGUGAAAGCAGGGGAUCUUCGGACCUUGCGCGAUUGAAUGAGCCGAUGUCGGAUUAGCUAGUUGGCGGGGUAAAGGCCCACCAAGGCGACGAUCCGUAGCUGGUCUGAGAGGAUGAUCAGCCACACUGGAACUGAGACACGGUCCAGACUCCUACGGGAGGCAGCAGUGGGGAAUAUUGGACAAUGGGCGCAAGCCUGAUCCAGCCAUACCGCGUGGGUGAAGAAGGCCUUCGGGUUGUAAAGCCCUUUUGUUGGGAAAGAAAUCCAUCUGGUUAAUACCUGGGUGGGAUGACGGUACCCAAAGAAUAAGCACCGGCUAACUUCGUGCCAGCCGCCGCAGUAA